CCUACGGGAGGCAGCAGUGAGGAAUAUUGGUCAAUGGGAGAGAUCCUGAACCAGCCAAGCCGCGUGAGGGAAGACGGCCCUAUGGGUUGUAAACCUCUUUUGUCGGAGAGCAAAACCCGGGACGUGUCCCGGACUGCGUGUAUCCGAAGAAAAAGCAUCGGCUAACUCCGUGCCAGCAGCCGCGGUAAUACGGAGGAUGCGAGCGUUAUCCGGAUUUAUUGGGGUAAACGGGUGCGAAGGCGGUACGGUAAGUCAGCGGUAAAAUUUCGGGGCUCAACCCGGUAGAGCCGUUGAAAUUGGCAGACUUGAGUUGGGGAGAAGUACGCGGAAUGCGCGGUGUAGCGGUGAAAUGCAUAGAUAUCGGGAAGAACUCCGGUUGCGAAGGCAGCGUACCGGCGCCAGACUGACGCUGAGGCACGAAAGCGUGGGGAUCGAACAGGAUUAGAUACCCCGGUAGUC
rnacentral:rRNA from 1 species